rnacentral:misc_RNA from 1 species
UCAAACUUGGUCAUUUAGAGGAAGUAAAAGUCGUAACAAGGUUUCCGUAGGUGAACCUGCGGAAGGAUCAUUAACAGUGCCCGGGCGAGAGCCCGACGCCACUCCAACCCAUCCGCGUACCUGACCCUGUUGCCUCCGUGAGGCCAUGGGGCGCCCCCUCCAGGGCGCUCCGGGGGGACCGCGCUCGCCGGCCUCCGCCCACGGGGGGACCACUCGAAACUCACGCUUUUUUAACCUGGACAGUCUGAGAGGCGUCUGCGGACGCGACGAAUGCAAGUUAAAACUUUCAACAACGGAUCUCUUGGUUCCCGCAUCGAUGAAGAACGCAGC